UGACAUAAAACCAGACUUUCUUUGCUGAGCCUUUGUUGUAAAAAUCAAACGAGCAAGGCAGAGUCCUAGAAACUGAAUUUGUACAGACCUGAAGCCUGAGUUCUGUUUGGCACCGUUCUGUCUCUCCCUUUCCAAGGACCGCCUGGGUGCAGAAAAUCAAAGCUGCUUCUGAACUCUACAUAGAGACGGAGAAGAAGAAGCGGGAGAAGGCGUACCUGGUCCGUUCCCAAAGGGCCACAGGCAUUGGAAGGUUGAUGGUGAACGUGGUUGAGGGCAUUGAACUGAAACCCUGUCGGUCACACGGAAAGAGUAACCCAUACUGCGAGGUGACCAUGGGCUCCCAGUGUCACAUCACCAAGACAAUCCAGGACACUCUGAAUCCCAAGUGGAAUUCCAACUGCCAGUUCUUCAUCAAAGACCUGGAGCAGGAGGUCCUCUGCAUCACCGUGUUCGAGAGGGACCAGUUCUCUC